UCCUUCUUAUCGAAGGCAGUUCUUCAAGAGUGCCUCCCUUACGGGAGUAGCAACAUGAAGUAAGGGUUGCGCUCGUUGCGGGACUUAACCCAACAUCUCACGACACGAGCUGACGACAACCAUGCAGCACCUCUACGGACUCCCUUGCGGGUCGCUCGCUGUUUCCAGCAAGCUACCAUCCGUAGUUCAAGCCCAGGUAAGGUUCUUCGCGUUGCGUCGAAUUAAACCACAUGCUCCACCGCUUGUGCGGGCCCCCGUCAAUUCCUUUGAGUUUCAACCUUGCGGCCGUACUCCCCAGGCGGCUCAUUUAAUACGUUAGUUUCGACGCGGAAGGGGUCGAUACCCCCCACAUCUAAUGAGCAUCGUUUAGGGCUAGGACUAC
rnacentral:misc_RNA from 1 species